rnacentral:rRNA from 1 species
UUGGUGAACCAGCGGAGGGAUCAUUACAGAGUUGUAAAACUCCCAAACCCAUGUGAACAUACCUGUUGCCUCGGUGGCCUACCCGGUAGCUACCCUGUAGCUACCCUGUAGUCCGCCGGCGGAAUUCAAAACUCUUGUUUAUUUAUUAUCUCUGAGAAUAAAACAAAUAAGUCAAAACUUUUAACAACGGAUCUCUUGGUUCUGGCAUCGAUGAAGAACGCAGCGAAAUGCGAUAAGUAAUGUGAAUUGCAGAAUUCAGUGAAUCAUCGAAUCUUUGAACGCACAUUGCGCCCAUUAGUAUUCUAGUGGGCAUGCCUGUUCGAGCGUCAUUAAUUCCACUUAAGCCCUGCUUAGUGUUGGGAGACUGCUCCAGUGGUGCUACCCUGUAGCUACCCUGCAGCUCCUUAAAGAUAGCGGCGGAGUUGUGAUAUCCUCUGAGCUUAGUAAUUUAUUCUAGCUUUCGAGUACAUCGCUUCCCCUGCCGUUAAACCACCCAAUUUUUAAUGGUUGACCUCGGAUCAGGUAGGAAUACCCGCUGAACUUAAGCAUAUC